rnacentral:lncRNA from 1 species
UUUCAAUUGAAGCAUUAAGGAAAGUUCGAAUGAUAUGCAGGUUCCUGCAACAGUAGUGGGACUGCAUUCAGAGAAGGCUGAUAACAUUUAAAUCUUUUUACAAAUGUGAAGGCUAAGAAACCUUCACAGGCUAAAAAUAUUGCUUUGGUGAUCCUGGCGAAAUGAAGACAUUCUGUAAAAAAUAAAAUCAAGGACAUGAGAGAGAAGAAAGGUUAUUGCUGUGCAAAAAGUGAGAAUAUAUUGUUACCUACAGAUGAUAUUUUAAUCAGGUAGCACUUGUUUUUCCUAAUUUUUGAUAAUAUACAAACAUCACUUCUAGAAGCUGCCAGCCAGGAGAUUUGGCUACGCUCUGGCUAUUGAAAAAACCCCAAAAAACAACAAAAAACCUUAACAGCAAAAAGAUUCAAUAAAAUAAAUUUCUUCCUUUAGUUGAAGUGUCUUCAAGUCCCCUUUUCUCAAUGAGAAGAAAAGCUGCAAUCUGGCGAAAAAGGUUAGUCAGACUAAUGAGAAACUUCAUGCUUUCAAGUCUGCACGGAAAAAAAGAAUCACUGAUUGGUGUUACCUCUAUCAAACUUAAUCACCUACUUUCUGGGCAAACACAGGAGACGUUUAGAAGCCGGUAUUGUGAGUUAAACAGCUUCUGAGUGAAGACAUAGAGGACAUUGCAUGUGGAAGAAAUGACUGAAGGUUAUCUAGUGAUAGAAGAAAAUUAAUUCAUUGGGAAACUGAGGAAGGGACUGGAGAAUUAUUGAAAGUAAAAUCUUGAAAGAUUUUUUUCAUCACUUUCCUCAGAAAUGGAUAUGUGACCUCAGUUAAAACUUUUCAUAAAUUUUUAAUCUAAAAGAAGACAUCCAUCUUGAAUACUAAAAUGUAGCAAAGAUAAACACCUGAAAUCAAAGUUCUACAACGGGUAUUGUCAGGCAACUGAAUUCUAAGUGGUGUAAAUGACAAAGACUAGAGUAAGACUAGAGUGGCUGGAAACAUAAG